UGCACAUGCUUGCAUUAACUUAUUUACUGCCAAUAACUAAUUAUUAUUAUUAUUACUAUUACUGCAUUCGUUAACCGUGUUCAGUUAAAUUUUUCUCGCCAUGCAUAAAUUGUUAUUGGGCAACAAAAACAAUUUUUCAACUUUGUUGAAGCCUUCCUUCAUCACGUUCGAUUUUGCCCGUAAAUACGAAUUUAUUUAUUAUUUUGUUUACAAAAACACUGCCCUUUCUUACUUGCAAGGCAAUUUCAUGACACCAACCACGUAGCUAGUAAUGGCUAGUAUUAGCUAUUGAUUGUCUUCCCCUUGACCUGUGUCCAGCCCCACGUCAAGCGAGGAAUAUAAUUAAUAAUACAAUAUCGAUGUGUGAGUAACCAGGAAGUUAUGUCUCGGAGAGCUAAAUCAACAAUUGAAAAAUCCAUACGUUUGACUUUUGGCCUUUCUUCUCUUGCAUUAUACGCUUUGUCUUUACACACACGUUGUUUUUGCUCUCAUUUAUAAUUUCAUGUCGUACAAUGAGGCUUGUGGAUAUGCAAAAGCGUUAAAAUUAAACCAUUAACCCAGAAUGACAACAAACGGCAAUAACCGCUUGAAUAGGAACAAUUGAAUGGGUAGUAAAACUACUUUCCACAUAAGAAUGCAUACGAAGUAAGCGGGGUGGGGAGAUGCCAUAGCUGUUGGGAAUUUAUGAAUUGCAAUUAUGAUUAUUGUUGUGGUACAUUGAUUGAGGUGGGUUGUGCAGUGAUAGAAAGUGUGGCGUGUUUACUCACCGAGUCACAUUGUACAUAAAUAUGGAGAGUUUCCAGGUCUUUCCUAUGCAUUGGCACUAUUGUGUAGCGGCUGAUGGAUGGCAUGACACAAAUAUUAGGGACAAUGGGGGAUUGUUUUGAAGGGAUGUUUGUAAACUUUCUUGUCGCACGGUCCAGAUUUGACUGGGUUUUCACGACUAUAUAAAUGUGUCGACUCUUUGGAUGAUGGGAAUGACUUACUGGGAACCACUCUGAGUUCGUUAUGUGUUAAUUAUAAUCAAAUGAACACAGCUUGGUGGUUACUAGAGGGUCUUUUCUCGAUAACCUCUGACCUACAAGAGUCACGACACGGUCUCCGACGAUCCCCAACGCUUCAGGCCAUCGUCAGCAUCCAUUUCUGUCCAUAUCUCAGUCCUGGCAGUCAUGUUUGGAGGUCUUCUUGCCAAGUAAGCUGUCGGUUCUCCCUGACACGGGAAGAAGAAGGGGUUGUUCCAUCCGCAUCAAGUCGGUCGGUCGGAUCUGCUGAGGGGAUUAAGAUGGUAGCUCACACAAAAAUUGCAAGUUGUUGAGCAGAUCGACCGUGUCAUUCUUAUGAUAUUAUCGCAGUUCACGGCCAUGAAAAGUGUGGCAGUACUCACUUCCAGUGGUCAUGGCAUUCAUGCAUCCAUAUGGAUCUCGGUGGACUGGACCCCUGAGCAACCAUAUGGUGUGGCUUCAAAUGAGUACCAGAGCUGUGUUUGCAGCGUUUGACCUGAAUUUCCCGUGUAAAUGCAUGGUCUGGUACGACAUUUGAGGCUUGUGAAUCUUCUUCUGUCACCAAACAAACUUGGCCAAGCUGGACCAGUAAUUGGUUGAUGAGAGGAGUGUGGUUUGUACUUUAAGGAAGAUGGCGAUUCUCUCCUCCUCCAAAAAUGAAUAGUUGAUGUCAAAGGUAGUCGUGCUAGUGUAGUAAUAAUUAGAAGAAUGUAUGAUUUGUGACUGAUUUGUGAUGACGAUGAUCUUGGUGUGAAUACAUACUUUUGAGAGAUGAAUGAAAUAAAGUCAAUUAGCUAAAGUCUCUGAUUAAUGGUUACUUA